AACAAUUCAAUGGUCUGGCUCUUUUACAAAAGCAACUUCUUGAUGAUAUUUUAAAACAAGAUGUUGCUAACAUCAAUUGUGUCGAUAGAGGAAAGGUUCUGAUCAAAGAGCGACUUUGUCGCAAAAGAGUUCUUGUUGUUGCUGAUGAUGUGGCUCAUCUGGACCAGCUAAAUGCUUUGAUGGGAGAUCGAAGUUGGUUUGGUCCUGGAAGUAGAGUAAUUAUCACAACAAGAGAUUCAAGUUUACUUCGUGAAGCAAAUAAAAGAUAUCAGAUCAAAGAACUGGAACCAGAUGAGGCCCUUCAGCUUUUCAGCUGGCAUGCCUUCAAGGACACCAAGCCAACAGAAGAUUAUAUUGAGCUUUCGAAGAAAGCCGUUGGUUACUGUGGAGGACUUCCUUUAGCUCUUGAGGUUAUAGGAGCUCUUCUGUACAGGAAAAACAGAGGUAGAUGGGAAAGUGAAAUUGACAAAUUGAAAAGAAUUCCAAACCACGAUAUUCAAGGAAAGCUUAGAAUAAGUUAUGACUCACUGGACGGUGAAGAACCAAAAAAUGCAUUCCUUGACAUCGCUUGCUUCUUUAUUGAUAGAAAGAAAGAGUACGUCGCAAAAGUGCUAGGAGCCCGUUGCGGUUACAAUCCAGAAGUUGAUUUGCAAACUCUCCAUGAAAGGUCUCUGAUUAAAGUAUUGGGAGAGACGGUAACCAUGCAUGAUCUAUUACGAGACACGGGGAGGGAGGUCGUUCGUGAAUCGUCUCCAAAAGAACCUGGAAACAGGACCAGAAUUUGGAAUCAAGAGGAUGCAUGGAAUGUACUUGAGAAGCACAAGGUACGCAAGAGCUUAAUGUUGUAUUUUCUAGUCAAACUUAUUACAAAUAAUGGUAUGAAAGUUGUAUUGAUUUUAUUUUUUUAGGGUACGGAAGUUGUAGAGGGUCUUAAACUGGAUGUCAGAGCAUCAGAAGCUAAAUCACUGAGCACAAGAUCAUUUGCAAAAAUGAAAUGCUUAAAUUUACUCCAAAUCAACGGAGCACAUCUCACCGGAUCCUUCAAACUGCUUUCUAAAGAGUUGAUGUGGAUUUGUUGGCAUGAAUGUCCUUUGAAAUAUUUUCCAUCUGAUUUUACCUUGGACAAUCUAGUUGUUCUUGAUAUGCAGUACAGUAACCUCAAAGAACUAUGGAAUGGAAAAAAGGUACGAAACAUGUUACAAUCCCCAAAAUUUUUCUAAUAUGUAGUUUAUAUUUACAUGUUAUGACUUUCUAUGAUUAAUUUUCAUUAUUUUUCUCUCUAUUAUAAUAGAUUCUCGACAAGCUUAAAAUCCUUAAUCUCAGUCAUUCUCAGCAUCUUAUUAAAACACCAAACUUGCACAGUUCAAGUCUAGAGAAACUAAUUCUGAAAGGUUGCUCGAGUUUAAUUAAGGUGCAUCAAUCAAUUGAAAAUUUGACGAGCCUCGUUUUCUUGAAUCUGGAGGGAUGUUGGAGGCUUAAGAAUCUCCCUGAAAGCAUUGGCAAUGUAAAGUCUCUUGAAACUCUGAAUAUUUCUGGAUGUUCACAACUUGAGAAAUUGCCAGAACACAUGGGUGAUAUGGAAUCCUUAACUAAGCUGCUAGCCGAUGGGAUUGAAAAUGAGCAAUUUCUCUCUUCAAUUGGACAAUUAAAGCAUGUCAGAAGGUUAUCAUUGCGUGGAUACAGUUCGACUCCACCAAGUUGUUCUUUGAUUUCAGCAGGUGUUUCGAAUUUGAAACGUUGGCUGCCAACACCUUUCAUUGAAUGGAUAUCAGUGAAACGUCUUGAGCUUUCUAAUAGUGGUUUGUCUGAUCACGCAACUAACUGUGUUGAUUUCAGUGGUUUGUCUGCUCUAGAGUAUUUGAAUCUAGAUGGAAACAAAUUCUCUAGCCUUCCUUCUGGGCUCGGCUUCCUUCCCAAGCUAAGUUUGUUGUAUGUCCGGGCAUGCAAAUAUCUUGUAUCAAUCCCAGAUCUUCCCUCAAGUUUAGACUAUUUGUUUGCAUCUGAUUGCAAAUCAUUGAAAAGAUUAAGAAUACCAAGCGAGCCAAAAAAAGUAUCAGUUAUAAAGCUAGAUGGAAGUCAUUCGUUAGAAGAGUUUCAGGGCAUUGAAGAUCUAAGUAAUUGGUUCUGGUAUAUUUGUGUUGAUGACCGCAGUCAUUCAUCAAGUAAAUUACUGAAGAGCGUUGUUGAGGUACUAUUUCUUUCCGUCUCUUUUUCGCACAAAAAGAAACACACACAAUUGGCACAUACAUUGAAUAAUGUCUAAAUUCUCAGCAAUCCUUAGAAAUCAAUAUGUAUAUGGGCAAUUAUUAUUAUUAUUAUUAUUAUUAUAUUUAAAAAAACAAAUAUCAUCUUUAAUAAUAUUUUUUAUUUUUCUUAUUUAAUCUAAAAAAUUAAAUAUUAUGUUUAAUAAUAUUUUUUUUAUUAAAUAUUUAAAGUCUGAUUGGUUUUAUUUUUUAUUUCUUGAUUUUAUGAUAAUAUAUUUAUACAGACAAUGUGCAACGGUCGUCACGGGUAUUUUAUUCGUAUUCAGUACAUUCCUAGUGAGAUGCCAAAAUGGAUGAGCUACAGGGGAGAAGGAUGCUCAUUGUCAUUCCAUAUACCUCCAGUCUUCCAAGGCUUAGUUCUUUGGUUUGAUAAGGAUGAUAAGGACACUUCCGUUAAAAUUAUUAUAAGAAAUAAUAGCAAUGGUAUUUGCUUGUUUAAAUGUACGCAAUGGGCUUAUCAUCCAAAAAAUGGAUGUAUAAGAUACAUAAGUAGAAGUAAAAUGGCAAUGGAAGAUUACUGUGCAGAUGACGAAUUGGAACUAUCCAUUUAUUCACGGCAACGGGGGUAUUCACUGCGCAACGAUGAUUCAUACCAACCCGCAGACAUUAAAGAAUGUGCGGUCCAUGUGAUCGCAGGGAAGUCAGAUUCAUUUGAAGAGUUGGCAGUGAGAACAGAUACUGUGAUGCCUUCACCACCGCUGUAUCAUCUGCUUCCUCAUCCCCCAUUGUGGUUCGAUUACAGCGUCUACACCUAAGCAAUGGACUGACUUUUUAUUUGCGAAGCUGCAAAACCAUAGCCUCAGUUCAACUUUGGUAAGAACAUAUUUCAUUUAGUUAUUUUUAUUCUAUUAUUUAAUUUAUGAAUUAAAUAUUAUCUUUAAUUAUUUUAUUUUUUUAUUUAAUCUAAAAAAUUAAAUAUCAUCUUUAAUAAAAACAAUUAUUAAAUAUUUAAGGCUUUUUGGUAAGAAUACAUAUUUCCUUUAGUUAUUUCUAUUUUAUUCUAUUUAAUUUAAGAGAUUAAAUAUCAUCUUUAAUUAUUUUAUUUUUCUUAUUUAAUCUAAAAAUUAAAUAUUAUCUUUAACAAUAUUUUUUAUUAAAUAUUUAGAGUUUGCUUGGUUUUAUUUCUUUUCUUGAUUUUAUGAUAAUAUUUUUCUUAUUUAAUAUAAAAAAUAAAUAUUAUCUUUAAUAAUUAGAUCUAUCGAAUAUCACUUAAAAAUAAAUUAUAACUUUAAUAAUUAUUUUUUGAAAAACAAAAAGCCAACAAUCACUAACAUAUUUUAUUAAAAUCACUUUAGUUUAUUUAGAAAAUAUUGAAAACUGAUUUUUGUUUUUUACAUUAAAAUAAAAAAUUGAAUAAUGUUUUUAUAUUUUAUUUCAAACUCGAUAUUUUAAAACAAAAAUGAAAAAGAUGUGAUAUUGACCUUUUUAAUUUAACUUUCUUUUCAAAUUUGAUGGUUUUUUAGGAGAGGGGUAUCUUUGACGUUGAUUGACGUGAGAGUACAAGAUCAUUUUACAUAGAGAUGCUUGAAAUUGCUCCAAAUCAGUACGAUACUUUCAUCUGACAUGUUGAUAUGUAUUUAUUGGCUUGAAGAUUAUUUUCCAAGCUUGGAAGUUUUAUUGAAUUCUCUUUGAAAUCUUUUCCAUCCGCUGGACAACCUAGCUGUUAAUUAUUAUGCAUGAUGUAAUUUAUAUUUUCAAGUUACAAAUUUUGAUGAAUAUUGUUUCAUUUUUUUCCUCACUUCAAAAGAUGAAAAUCCUUGAUGUUAGUUAGAAAUAAAUUGGUUUUCUAGUAAGAGAUUAUUUAUUGGAAUAUAGUAUUUGAGUUGGUUAUAUAUAAUUUAAAAUAAUUAAUGAAAAUUACCGAUAUAUAGGAAAGUUUUGAGAGCAUCCUUAAUUAGUCUAGUAAGUAAAGUGUUGUUAGUUUUGACUAUAAGAUCUUGCUAUGUAUUAUUGCAUGGUUUUUACUAUUUUUAGGCAUUUUUCUUUUGGUAUAUACAACUUUUGUUUUUCUUGCCGUUUGUUAUUAGCUUUAUGGCACCAACACCAAUUAAUAAUAAAUCUUGAACUAUUAUUAAAUAAAGAAAAAAUAUAAACAUUGUUAAAACACCAAACUUGAAUUGCUCAAACCUAAAGAAACCCUAUGACAAUAAUCUAAUUUAGAAAAUAAUUAAUUUAUCCUUGUAGUCUAAGAAAAUAGUAUUUAAUUCUUAUGUUUUCAUAUACAUCUAUGAUUUAAUAUGUUGAUUGAAAUUGGCAAGUGAGUUUACUCGCAUAUUGUUAUAUUGGUUUUGAGUUCAAAUAAAUGUUUAAAAAGGAAGUUUUUUCAUGAAUGUAACCCUUCAUGUAUUCAAUAUGAAUGAUGGGAGAUUUUGAUGUCUUGUGAAUGCAUUUAUUUAUAUAUCGAUGAUUUUGUUAAGAAUUGGUUGGUAAAAAACUUAAUUUCGAUAUAUAAAAACCGAAGAGAGAACAAUAAAUAGAGAGACUAGUAAAGAUUUUAUGUGCUUUUUUUUUUUUUAAUUGGAUUACCUUUGUCUUUUGUUUCAAGUAAAAUUCUAGUAUAUAUCACUAAAUUAAGAAUUAAAGGUCUAAUUAUAUGAACACAAUUUUAAAGACUACAUCAACUACAUUUCAUAUGCUCAACUCUAAGCAAAUUGAAAUUUCAAGGCCAUUUGUAUCUUGAAAACACAAUCUCAAUAAUUUUAAUAUUGAAUUAUUAUUUGUUAGGUAACUAAGAUUUGUUGACUUGAAAAAUAGCACUAAGGAACACAAAUUCGUACUGUUUAUCUUCUUGGCAUUGUUCAAAGGAAUGCAAAAAGACACUCCAAUUGUGAAAAUGUAUUAUUGUCAUAAAGUAAAACUUCCAAAGAGUGAAAUAAAGAGCAAGAGCAAAAAAAUAAUUUGUGUGUGUAUAAGCUAAUUGAAAUGAAGAUUAGAAUAAAAAGGAUAAAAAAGUGAGAGACUCGUUAAGAUUUUAUGUUAAUGCUCAACAUGUUCUUUCUUAUUUAUUUUUAAUUGGAUUACCUUUAUCUUAACGAGUGAAAUAAAGAAACACUCCCCCAUCUUUUUUAUUCCCUUUCCCUUCUUUACAUGGCUUACUCAAUGAAAAAGCAAUUAAACACCCCAUUUGAUUUUCAAUCAAUAUGAGAGUGAGAAAGAGAGAGGCCAAGGUGGUCUUUGAAUAUUUUCUUCUUUUUUGUCUCGCUCACUGGGGCAAACCAUUUUUUUCAAAAUUUUGAAUAGCAUGCCAUCAAAAAGAAUUUUGUUCAAUCCCAAUCCCACAUACACUUUGUUAUUUUCCAAUCCCUCCCUAGUUCUGCAACCAUUUCUCUACUUUCUAUGCUCUUGGCUUGCUAAAAACUAAAGAAAACACAUUGCUCUAGUUGCCUGCCUUCACUCUUCAGAUUGCUCAACAAAACCCUUGAGACCUUCUCCAUAGUUAACAUACCACAUAAUGGCUACUCUAAAAAAUUUAGCCAUAAACAAUGAACACCUUAGGCAAUCAACGUCCCUUCCUUCAUAAUAUGCAUCGCCCAUAAAUCUUUCUUUUGGGAUGUCGUCGGGAGUUUAAUCUCCGAGUGUAAAAAUUAUGUAUAAAUUUCCAUUCUUUCCUUCCAUCCAUUACUUGUCCUCUAUGAAGAUUUUAUGUAUGAAACCUCGGAAUCUUUUCAAGUAUAACUUGGGAUCAACAGCUGAGAUAGACGUGGGAUCCACUUGUAUGCAUGCUCUAGCUUUUUGCUGAUAUCAUAAUCCUGGAGGAUGUCAAUGAUACCAAAGUGAAGAACUACAUUGAAGAUCUCUUUACCAUUGUGUGAAGGUGUUGAAUUGUUACUUCCACCCCCCAUCCACUGAUCCAUUUCAGUAGUCCUCAUUACAUGCUCGGCUCUUGCAGGCACAUUUGCCCCCAGUCAGAUGAAUGGCCCCCUGGAACAGAUUUCAUAUGAGUACUACAAGCAUGCAACGCCAGUUAAAAUCUUGACAUUGCAUCACACAAUCACCAAAAUUCAAAGUAACAAAACGAAGAACAAAAUGUGAUAACAAUGACAAUGACACUUUUCAUCAUUAAUUUUCCUUUUCACAUUGAUUUUCAAUGUUCCGGGCAGAUAAAAUAGCAUUGAUUUACAACCAUGGUUUUAAGGCAUCAUUAUUGGCAAAAACAUUGUAGGACAAAGCAGACUUAAAGAUCAAUGCUUCAGUUGUCAAUCACAUUAAUAAUUUAUAUUUGAUCGUCUAAAAGGGCCUAGAAUAGGACCAGGUAAAAGUUUGUUUUUAUCUAAGAAAGCAAGAAGGUCUCCACAAACUACCCCCAAUUUCGCCACUACAGCCUAAGUCACUUUGAGUCAUUCCAACAAAUAGGAAUUGAAUUCAAAGGAAUAAAUCAUUAAUUAAAUGCAGGGCUCCAAUGUGGGAAAGGGAAAAUGAUUCACUAUUAAAAAGAAAAGCUCAAACACAAAUUAUAGCUUCACUUUUUGUGAAUUAUAUCUCAAAUUUCAUUGGCUGGAUGAUUUAUUGAUAUUUUAAGAAAGCAGUCUUCAUUGCUUUUCAAAACCAUACUAUGGGUCCAUAGACAACUAAAGUUAAACAUGUGGCACAUACCUAGUAGAAAAGAAGAUGCCACAACAUUGCACUUCAUUGCUUUUCAAAACCAAACUAAAGUGCAAUGUUGUGGAAUCUACCUAAUGAGUUCAUUAAACCAUGACCGUUCCAGGCAAAAUACAAAGUUUAGAUCGAGGUCCUUAAGUGUGGUUGUUUCAUCAAUUUCACCAUCAAGCUUGUAAGUCGUGCGUCCAUGAAAAGAGCCUUUCAAGUCAAAGCGUUUAUGGAUACGGUACUCGGAACAAAACAGGUUUCUCAUUACAACAAAAUGAGUCUAGAAUUACAUUGCAUUGUGAACAGUAAUUAGAAUAUGAUUAUACAUUAUGUAGAAAGAACAUCUCAAUGAAAACUGUACCGUCGUGAUUAUACCUUUCGACCUCCCACUGGUUUAACACAAUGUACACCAAAGAAAUUUGUUACCAAGGAGUUCUUGUACUGGCAAACAUGUUGGUAGUAACUUGGAAGCAUCUUAAUAAGAACCUGAAUAUGGUUCACAAUAGGUUGUGAAAUCUAUCCACAUGAUAAAAAUUAAAAAUAAGUGUCUAAGACUUAAAUUGGUAUAUAGAACCAAAUUACUUGCCCUACGUAUUGCUACUUGAGUAAUAAUCACUUUCAUACAUUUGCUGCUUUGUAACAUGUUGAAUUGCGAAUUUAGGGUAGCUAAAUUACUAACCUUGACUUCAGAUUUUUUCACAGUUUUGAUUAUGAAACGAUCAUCUUGAGUUAGAUAAAAGAAGCUUCCACUCUUCCCAGGGGAAGAAAAUUCUCUAAGUGCAUCACUUCCACAAAUCGUUGCAUGUAAUUCACUGGAUCUAUUGAAAACAAUUCCCUCAGAUAUCUAAACACCAAACAAACCAACCACCACCAUAACAUAGGAAAUCAGAGACAAAUUCAAUAUCUCCUUUCUUGGACAUUCAAUAGAAGAUUAAAAAUGAAGUAAUAAAGCAUUAUAUGUUCCAAAAAUCCGUAAAAAAAUAAUAAAAAUUCCUAAAAAUAAUACCUGAAUACCAUGGGACAAUAAUCCUUCCAUCUGAAAUCCAUAGAUUGAUGUGGAAGCCUAGACUUUGAUACUUCCGGUGGAAACCUUGUCCAGAACUUUUCUUUAGGAUAAAACAUAGAAGCCUCCACAUUAUCAACAAUAUCACAAGUAAUAUCACUAGCCUCCCCAUCCAACUCCUAAAUACAAAUCCGAGGAAAAUUCCCAUCCACUGAUGACCUCUUCCUCCCUCCCCCAGCCCCAACUACUGGAUCCAAUGCCACCCCUUUAAAAUCCUCUCCACCACCACCAAGAACUCUCCCAUUCACAUUCCCACUACCAAAUGUAAAAAUUCCUUUCCCUUUAGGCACCCCAUUUUCCAAGUACCCUUCAUACCUCUUCCCAUUAACCCAAACCAAUACCCGUUUCCCAGAUAUCACCCCAUGUUUCCACUCACCAACAUACUCAUUCCCAUUACACCACCUAUACUUCCCUUCCCCAUCCUGCAAAUUAAACUUCCAAAAACCUUGAUAAACAUCCCCAUUGGCGUACCUUGUCUCACCAAAGCCAUGCUUUUUAUCACUAAUCCAAUUUCCAAUAUAAACUUCACCAUCUACACCAAUAAAAGUACCAUAACCAUCCAUUCUCCCUAACUUAAACUGACCUUCAUAAGUAGCUCCUGAUGGCCAAGAAAACUUCCCACCUCCAUUAGCCUUCCCUCUCCUCCACUCUCCUUCAUACAUACACCCAUCACACCACAAAUACUUCCCCUUCCCAUGUGGCACACCAUCCACCACUCCCCCAGCAUAAAUAUCCCCAUUGGGCAACACCUUCUCCACCAAGGAACAACCAGUGUCAAUACGAGAAGUGAUGGUGGUGGUCAUCGCGUCACGCGUGGGAGUCACGCGCCGGUAGUUGGGCUGGGAUCGGGUUCUUGUGGUCACUAUAUGGAACAAUGAGGGGACUAGCAAAGACACAUCUUUGCUGUUUUUGGCUUUGAUUUUGGUGUUUUCUGAUAGUGUGGCCAGAAGGGUCUCUUGAAUUUUGCUUUUUAUGCCGGUAAAUGCACCGGCGGAAACAUUUUCGGUGAUUGUGCUAUAUUCUUAAACGGUUUUCUUGCUCUUUUGUGAGUCAAAAAAUAAAAACAAAAAAUGUAGCUUUCUUGUUGCUUUGAAGAAUGGGCGAGAGAAAUGGCAGAAAAAACAGUGGAAGGGAAGAGAAAAAGCAGAAGACCAAAGACAGAGAGAGAGGGAAUGGGCCGUCUUUUGUUGUUGUUUUUGGUGUCUGUCUAGUCUAGGGAAGCUUGUCGGCAGGCUUUGUUCCAGAGAGGGAUCAUUUUUUGUGUUUUAAGAAAUAUAGGGAGUAAAAUGGGAUUAGGCUUUGGGUAUUUUUAGUAAAACCUACACUGUUAAGGUCGGGUAAUAAAACAAUAUUAUUUUACUAAAAAAAAAUCAAUAAAUUGAGAAUUGGUUAAAUAACCAGCCAUUUCCGAUUUUAUAACGGUGAUUUCAGGUGAGUGAGGUAUUGUUGAGGAAUUUAGGGUUUAGUUGGGGGUAUUUUAGGGAUAUUUGGGAGAAAGGGAAGAUAUAAUUAAGGUAGGAAGAACAUUUCUUGAUUUAUGUAAAUUGAUUAAUUUAAAGAAGGUUUGAUUGAUAAUGCAACCCACAAACAUUUAAACAUUUGUAGAGUGUAAUUGACUAAAAAAAAUGAAUAAAAGACAUUAUGAACAAAUCAUUCUUUAUUAUUUAAUUGAUUUGUCAAAGUUUCUAAUUUUGUUUUAAAACUUGUUUCAAUUGGCUUUUUUUUUUUUUGCUUUUUUUUAUAUUUUAGAUAUUUUUAUAAAAAAAAUAAAGUAAUUAUUAUUGUAUAUAUUUAAAUUAAACUAGAUAUGAUAAUUAACAAUCAAAUUAAAGUUUAUAUGAUUUUAGUGAUUGUAUAUUUUUUUUUAAAAAAUAGAUUAAAAAAUGAAAAAAAAACAUAUAAAAAUAAAAAUACAAAUCGUAUCAAUUUAAUAUGGGAUAUUAAUAGGUAUAUGUGAGUAGUUUAGUUUAAUAGAUGGAGUACACAAUGGUAGGUGUUCCAGGUUUUUUUUUUUUUUUUUUGUAUAUUCUCUCUUUUUUUCACUUUUUGUGAUACUAAAUCAAAUAUAUUAUUACUAGAUAUAAAAUAAUUUAUUCAUUGCUUAAUUAAAAUAUUAUAAAAAAAAUUAUCUUUUACCAAUUUAAGAUUUUUAUUAUUUAAAAUUUGAGAUGAUAAUGUAGAAUAAUUUUGCUUGGACCGACAACAUCUCCAGCAUAUACACAAUACUAUUUUAAUUUUUUUAGUAAGGCAGUGCAUCUUAGUUGUACAAGACAAUGCAUGGUUUAUCCAAGCAAAAUAAUUUGCUUAGACUUUUCUUAAAUUCUUCAAACCCUAAACAUGAUUUUCAUCUCAAAUUAUUCUUUAAUGAAGUUGAUUAGAAUUUGAUCAAUUUCACCAAGGAAGAGAAAAAAAAAACUAUUAUUAUGCUCCCAAUCUCUCCCUCAACUGUAAUUAUAAAACUUGAUUUGAUAAUCAAUUUAAAAUAAAAUUCAAUAUUAAAAAAAUUAAUCUAAAUUAAUCAGAAUUGAUUUUAUUUUUUAAAAAAUACAAAAAAUAGUCAAUAAAUUAAGAAUUAAGUUUUAUUCUUUAUAACUUGGGUUUUUGACCAAAUUAAGGUAUGUUAUUUUUUUUAUAUUUUUAAUUUAUCCUCUAAAGGUUUGAACAUUGCUCUGUUUUUUUUUUUUUUCCAUUUUAUUUCUCAAAGCUAUAGUGGUAUAUAAAUUUCUUUAGCUGGUGUUAAAUCUUCUAUCCAGACUUUAAACAAUGACAUGUGGGAAGAAAACAAGUGAAGUGUCAGUCACUAAUUACCAUAUAUACAGAAACUGUCACAAUUAAUAAGGUAUACAGAACCAUUAUAAAAGCUAAUUUUUAAUGGCAGUUUCCUCGGUGGAUGUCCAUACAAGAAAGGGCAUCAAUUAGAAUAGGUGUCUUAGUUAUAGGUAUAUGCCCUAACUAUUCUUCAAGUAUAAAUUUACACCAUUGUCAUUGUAAAUAUUUUAUUUAAAAAUGUUUAUGGAUGGCAAUAGAUAAUAACUUGGCACAAGAACUAUAUCACAACUUAAAAAUAAGUUUAUCCAAGUCAAUUUUAAAUAUUAUGAAUAACAAAGUUAUUAAAUCUAUUUCAAUUCAUGAUUUAGCCCAAAACCCAAUACAAUUUUAAUUUUAGGAAAAAAAAAAAAGUUUAAGAGAAGAAAUUUAUUGAUUAAAUAAGGAUAGUAAUUUCACCAAAUCCAAUUGAUACCAACUAGAAUGGAUAUUGAUUUUUUAGACCUGAUAAGAUUUAAGUCAAAAUAUAAAAAGUCAAGUGUUGGGUUGGGUAGGAUAUUGAUUUACUCAACGGAACCGAAACAAAUAAAUAACCUUAAAUUUUAAAAAAAUUACAUGUAUACCAAGCCAAUUAUAAAUUAAAUAAUUGUAAAUUAUAGCAUUCGAGCUUUAAGUCUAGAUUAUAAAUACUUGAUAGGUACUCGAAAUCUAAUCAAGUUAGUUUUUGGUAUAAAAAAUUUAUACAAAGUCAAACUUGACCAAUGAGUAUCCAUAGCCAUCCCUGUAAACAAAUGCAUGUGUUUCCAUGAGAAUGAGUUGUCGAAGAAGUUCAAAGGGCAAGGAGGGAGAGUGCUUUAAAAAAAAUAGAGUAGAGAAUAAAACAGGGGAGCAAUGCUUGAGAACAUGCAUUGCUGAACUUCUUGCUUGAUUUCGCCAUGUUAUGGAAGCAUAAAACCUUCACAAUACUGCUUCACACCUCCUUUUCUAUGCUAUCAUGCCAUGAACAUAUGAUGACAAGAGGCCUUGCAAGGACACAUCAAGGUGAUGUUUAAUAUAUAUAUAUAUAUAUUUACUUUUAGAAUGUUUUAAUGUUAAAAAUAAAUUUUAAAAAAUAAAAAAUUUCAUUUCAAUUUAUUUCUAAAUAAAAAAUAUUUUAAAAAAUAACAUUUACAAAAAAUUAUCUUAGUGCAUUAGAAGAAGCAAAAUCCAACUCUAAUAUGAUCUAUAAAGUGACCAACCAAACUUAGCACCUGGAAACUAAGCGCGCAUUUGACUAAAAAAAGAACUUUUAUUUCUUUAAGUUCUUAAGAGUUCUUUUUUUUCUUUCUAAUCAUUUUAUAAAACAUUUUAUAAAAUUCCUAAAACCAAGUUUUUGAGAUUUGAAAUUAACAUGAAAUCAUUUUAACAACAUAUAUUAUCAAAUACCUUUACGAUCAUAGCUACAACCACAACUAAAAGCCUAGGCCCUAAGCCUUUUUUUCUUCUUCAGGUUCGCAUUCAAACGAAUAAAUUCAUCGAAAAUUUCCGUCUGUCUCAACAUUCAAAUCCAAAAUGAUAACAUAAAAAUUAAACUCUCAUCCUAGAUGAGCUAAAUAUUUCGAUCCAGACUCAGACAAGAACUAGAUGUAUUUCUAGGGUACGCAGAACCAUCAUUACUUGUUGUUGUAUACUGUAAAUGUCAGUUGAUUCUUGCAGUACUUCUGGAAACAAUUUUUUUUUUCUUUUUUCCUUUGAAACAAAUUUAUUUUUCUCUUUGAAUAUAUUCAGGAAAGAGGAAAUAAAGAAUGGUGUAAAUCAAAAGAAAAGAAAGGUGCAGAUUAUGCUGCUAGUCAAAAUUUUGAUCAGUGGAUACUUGGCCAAAGAUAUCAGGACAUGAUUCCCAGUUGCCCCUUUCCUUGGCUUCCCAGUAACCACCAAUAUAGCUAUAAGUUUCACCGCCUUUCUCCUUCACAAACCACCGAGGCUUCCAACCUCUCUCUUCCAUCUUCCGUGCCUGUGAUUGUUGAAAAGAAUUCUUAUUAUCCUCUAAUUUACUACAUUUCAUAAACAGUAGUCAGUAGAAGUGUCGUGCAAGUGUGUGUACAAAUGCAUUGGUGUAAAUACAGCAAGAUCAUUCCUUGAUGCAUGCACGUACCUGUCGUUGCCUCUGCUCUAGUCGUAACUUCUCUUCAUUGGCCUUUGUAUACUCUCCAUUUUCCAAGCAUCUCUGAUCAGGUCUCAGCCUGGAGUCUGUUGAUGGCAGUUUCUCCUGCGUAUAAAUUUAAUGUCAGCAGCUACGAAUGGAUACCUUGUUCUCUACUGCAGAGGAGCAGUGAGACAUGGCAUUUCUUGUAAAGAAAGAUAUUUAUCAUAUUCAAAUCUUUCACCAACCUUAAGCUCCUGAUGCGGAACAAUAAAGAAUAAGAAUUAAAACAGGAAAAGAAAUAAGCUUUAGGGGAAAGAAAGAAGCUAGAGAAGAGGAAGAAAGGGGAUUGGAGAUAUGCAAAUUCUGCAAUUUUCAUUAAUCAUCAAAAGUACCUCUCAAAAUGACAAAAGAACAUAUAAAUAGUAAACCCUAAAAGUAAACCCUAAACAUCCUGCUAUUUGGGCUCGGCCCAUCAAAUCGAACUGUUUAAUAUAAAUAACAAUGAGUAGGCCCAGAUGGGCUAAAUAAAUAAAUAACAAUAAGCAGGCCCAAAUGGGCUAAAUAAAAUAACAAUGAAAUAGGCCCACAUGGGCUUAGUCUCCCAACCAAAGUGUGACAGGCUGGGCCAUCCUACGCCGUCUCCGUCCAUAUACUUGUGUAAUCUGUGGUGUGGGCCUGGUGUCUCCACCAGCUCCGGUGUGAGCUCAUUCAGAGUUAUAGCAAAGCGUGUUAGAUUGUAUCUGGUCAGAUGCUUUGAUGGUUUACUCCGCUUCCAGAGCAAAUGGGGCUCUGAUCCGUUUGCAUUCCUUGAACCACCAUUAAUUUUAUAGUGCAUGCUAUCAUCCCAUUUUCCAAAUAAACUUGCCACUGUUUUACCAUUCUUAUCUUGAACACCACCUAGUACCUAGAGAACAAAUAGUAUUGCUGCAAUUAAUGGUAAUGCCUAAUCAUGAUUCAUUCACAAAAUGAGAUAAUGCAAUGAGAACCUGAUAUGAGGGAAAACAUCAACAGACAAAUAUUGAUAGUCUUAUGGGUGACAAGCUAAUGGUCAAAUGAUUUUUCACCAAGCAAGCUUGAUAUCAUUACAAAAAAUGUGUUGGAAAUUGUUGCAUGAAAGGGCAGAACCUCUAAAGUAAUGUGCACGGGUAUACAAAUUUGACUAUACAACCGACAGAAAAGAAUAAGCCAGGAAUCAAACUAUCAUUAGAACAAAAAACCUGAGCUUAGGCUUAGCCUGUAGGAUACAAGUUUAACAAACUUAAAAAGCAAAAGAGACCUUGGAGACAAAACAUAAGCGAAAUAUUAUACAGCAUGAUGUGGACCUGGAAAAAGAAAUUUUUAGAAAAAGAGAUAUUUUCUAAUAAAUCUUCGAGGAUAGAAACUCCCAAUAUAUUCCAGGAACACUAGCGUCACUAUUCUUUCAAGCAGUCAAGUGCUUCAGUAGUACAAUGACUACACAUUAGUUGCUUUAUUAAAAUGAAAUUCAAGAUGGAUCAUUUACUUUGAUGAAAAAUAUGGAAAUGGGGAUAUUGGAACCUGGUGGGGAUUCCUGUCAAUGAGUGACUGCUCUUUGAAUUUUAGCUUGCAGGAGUAUUUCUGAUUCCCCUGUAUCUUCAUUGUACCAUAAUGAUCACAGUAUAGUUUCCCUAAAAUGAGGUUGUAAAUGGAUGUUGUCACCUGAUAAGAGAAAGACAGCUUAGCAGGAAUCUUAUAGAGAAUGGUAAGAGCUGUAAAAUGCCAAAAACAAACCUUACUCCACUGGAAAAUUUCUCCAUCAUCAAACUCUAGUGUUAAGGUGCCAACAGGAUCAAGUUGAAUUGAACGACCCCAAAAUUUACUUUUUAAAUCACUUUCACCCCAAAAUUUCCAGCCUCGACCCUCACAAUGGCAGGCAACAACCAUUGGGUGAUGACUAACCUGUUUCAAGAUGAGCCACAUUGAUAUGUUAAAAAUCAGUAGUGGCAUUUGCUACUUACUGACAAUGUGUAAAUGUGUGCAAAUACGCUUUCAAUUACAUAAUAUUUUUCUUUUCAGAAGCAACCAUAAAAAGGCAUGUCAUAUUAGACGUGUAUAAAUAAAGAACGAUUGCUUAUGGUGCUUCUAGCAGUGAUAGAGACACCUUCUCAGAGAUAAAGCGAAUGCCUUUAUCAGGAUAAUCGGCCUCAUAUGUUUCCCCUAGUAGUGGAUUGAAUGGCUUGCAAUGUCUUCCAUCAGUAGAGGCAUAUCCUGAUACUGCAAACGCUGCCACAUUGAGUGCUCUCAUAAGGCUAUUACCCUACAAAAAAUAAGCCAAGAUCGUGAGCACAUUUAUUAAGAGAACAGUGUAGGGUGAGAGGGUGAUUUGUCCAAAAUUCUUCCAAGAAAACUAAAAUACUGCACACUUGGCACUGAGAGCACUAGGAUUUAGGACACACUUCCACAUACAAGCACAGAGACCAUGCAGCAGCAACAGUCUGAUUAAUAGUAGUUCACAACAGAGCAUUUAAAGUAUAACUUCCAUGUCCAUAGCUUCUUAAGAAAUCUUGUGAUGGCUGUAAUAAAACAAUAAUAGGCGCAAGCAACAAGUCUCUUUGGUAGACACACUAGUUUCAAGUAGGAAAAAUCAUAACUUUGCUUUUGCAAGACAAGUAAAACUAGCAUGGUUUCAAAAAUAGUAAACGCUAGUGGCAGGCAUACCCCAAAAAGUUUGUAACCAGCAACGGUACAUUGACUAAAUGACAAGUAUGUGGUUUUUUUUUAAAUCAACUGUCAGAAAAGGAUAAGAAACAACAAGAAAGGAUGAACCUACCAUUUUACCAAAUUCAUAGGCUCGAUCUAUGUUGUAACCUAUUUUUGGGUCCCCAUAAAAAAUAAAAUAAAUAGCCAAAAAAGGUUAGAAAAAUAACAGGAGGCAUGAAGCGCCCAGAAAAUGGUUAGAAAAAUUAGUCAAGGAGGUUAAAAAUACAGAGAUGAAUUUUUGACAAUAUAUUCUUGAAUGAUGAGAGCCCUGGUAAGAAAAUUUGAUUUUUUGAGGAGAAAAGUCCAAAUUUGGAGAUUUAUGGACUUAAUUGGAUUUUUAAUUGAAUUUAUAAAGGGUUUGAUUGCAAGAAAAAUUGAUUUUUAAGUCAAUUUGGGCUUUAAUUGGAAGAAAUUUAAGUUUUGGGGCCAAAAUAUAUUUUUUAGGAAUUUAUUAGGUCAAAUCAGGGGCUUAAUUGCAUAAAUAUUGAAGUUUAAUGGCCAAUUAGGGGCUUAAAUGUGAAAAUCCGAAACCAGGGACCAAUUUGGAAAAGGCGCGAAGAUAGAGGGGGCUGUAUUGAAUUGAUUCAGGGGCCUAAUUGAAGAAAUUGGAAGUUUAUUGAUCAAUUGAGGGUCAAAUUGCAUAAAUCAGAGGACAAGGAUCAAAGUGGAAAAGGCGGCCAAAUAUGAGGGCGGCAAUUGAAUUUUCGAAGGAUGCAAUUGAAAUGAACAAAAGAAAAUUGAGGGUUGAUUUGAAAAUGGAAACGUUCUGGCGCCACAUUUAAAUGAAACGACGCGUUUUGUCCAAAACGACGCCGUUUCAUGUAAAAAAAAAAAGAAAAAAAAAAAAGAAAAGGAGAAGAGAACUAACCGAAGGGAGGAGAGAACUGACCGAAGGGGGGAAGGGAGAAGAAAAAACCCGAGACUAAGAGAGAGAGAGACUGAAGGAGAGAGAAACAGUUGAACUAAAGUAAUAAACACAUAAAACUCAAGGAAACGAAACUGGGAGAAGGGGGAAGAGGACAGGAGCCGGGGAAGAGCUUAGAGAAAACGAAGACCGAGCAGCACCGCCAGGUUACCGAACCGUUGGGAACCGCCGCUUUGAGCCACCAACCUCCGCUGCAGCACCAUCAACACGGACGUUCGACCAACAGCAUCGCCUCCGCCGUGCCAGGUAUUCUUCUCCCCCUGCAUUUUUCAUUUUGCCCUUACUUUAGUUCUUUCCUCAUGCAUGCAGAAUCGUUCUGCAUGCAGGAGUUAGGGGAAGGGAAAAUAAUUCCCUUCCCCGUUGGGUUCUUAUACUGGGCCGGGUUUCCGGCCCAGUUUUGUUAUUAGUUUUUUUGGGCCAGACCGAGUCUGGCCCAAAGAGAAGUUUUUGUUGGGCCGAGAUCGGCCCAGCCACCUUGCGGGCCGAGAUCGGCCCAAUCCUGUUUUGGGCUGAUGUUUGGCCCAUUUCCAACUGGGUUGGGUUCGGCCCAUUUAGUUGGGCCGGCCCAGCCCGUUUUUUAUUUUUAUUAUAUAUAUUAUGAAUUAUAGUAGAUUAUAAUAUAUAUGUGUGUAUAUUGUGUAUAUAUAUUUUUACUUUAAAAAAAAAUAUAUUUCGAAAAAAUCUAAAAAAAAAAUAUUGUUGAUUUCCUUGAAUAUUUUUGUCAAAAUGGGUUAAUGUUGGUUGGUAUUUUUAUACUGUAAAGAUACAAAAUCAAUGUUAAAAAUACUUGGUUUUCGUAAAAACAUCAAAGAUUUUCAGAAUAAGAAAUGUUUUUGCUUUCAAAAAAUUUUCUAAAAAAUCCCUAAAAAUAUUGUUGAUUUUUCUGCAUUUUUUUUUAUUAAAGUGGAUUAAUAUUGGGUUGUAUUUUUAUACCGUAAGGAUACAAGCUCAGUAUUUAAAUACCCGAUUUUCGUCAAAACCUAAAAAACAAAAAAAAUAAUAAUAAUAUUUUCAAAAAUUGUUUUGUUUUAAAAUACGGCCUGGUCUCUCCAAUAUAUAUAGAUAUAAACAUUAUAACAUCAUAUUUUUUUUACACAACAAAGAAAAUUUUCAAAACAAUAUAUGAAUUAGCAUGCAUUUUGGCUUUAAUGACCAGUUUAUUUAAGCCAUGAGAACUAGGCCAAUAUUUCAAAAAAAUUCUAAAAAUCUUUUUGUUUUCUCUUAGUAUUUGGGAUUACGAAUUUAUACGUAAAACGUAUUCCUAAAUAUUAUUUUUUUGUAUAGACGUUAGAACGGUUAGGAUUUUACUCGAUAAGAUAAAAGACCUUCUUACUGAGGAGGAUUUUUCUUGAACCAUAGACAGACCCACGACUAGAAGUACAAUAACAUCUUAGUUUUUAUCAGACAAUAAAACAAUGCAGCUUACUUUAGGUAGGGCGUAUUUGGGGUGCUAAUACCUUUCCUUUACGCAACCAGUCCCCAUACCCGAUCUUUGAGACCAGUUAGGGUUCUUAGUGACCAAAAUACUAAGUGGCGACUCCCAUUCCAUUUUCUACUCACAAAAGACAAUAUUUUCUUGUAUCCCCAUAGAUAUGGAUAGAUUUACAUUGUAGAUAAGAAAAUGGAACAACCAAUAUAAUUUUCGCCGCGACGCCGCACACGUGCGACAAUCUAGAAGGAACGAGUAUUCCAAAUCCUCAAAACAUUUCUGUAAAGAAGAGAUGGGCUCAUUGAAAUAAACUGGAAGACAAACUCUAGUAAGAUCCUUCCCGAUAUUAUCUUUAAUCAUUGACCAAAGACUGACCCCCUUCUCCUUCUCAACUGGGUCAGGCAAUUUCUUUCGCCUCAUAACACAAGGGUAGUUAGAUCCAACAAAUUUGAUACAGGAAUCCAUGCCAUCUUCAAUAUCAAGCGGGCCUUCGUCUUCAUCAGAAUCAUAUGGUGUUUUCUGAAAUUCAGAUUCAGCACUUUUAAACGAACUUGAUGAAAGAAAAUCUUGAGUAUCAAGGAAUUCAUCGUCAUCAUCUGUUUCCUCCUCUGCAGCAUCAUGUCUGUCAUGAUCAUCAUCGGAGCCACUUGCACUUCCCUCUACAUAAAUUCCACACAAAGAGGGUCAAAAGAUAAAGUUAAAAUGGAUGACAGAGUUCAAAAGGAAAACAGAGAAAGAGGCUAAAUAUUGAAGACACGAGCAAGAGACAGGGGGCGAGAGGCCAGGUGUUGGUUUUCAAUUAUCCAUGAGAAAUCAAUUAGAAAUAGGUAUGUAUAUAAAUGAGUUUGAUUUAAAUAGCUACUAGUAUAGCAAUCAACUUGGGAGUUUUGAAGCAGAGAAACUUCAGACAAGGGUAAAGUAACAGGCCACAGGAAUUCAUCAUAAAAGCAGAUAGAGGUGCCUCAUUUAACCCACUCACAGACAGCUCAUCAUUCGCAUACAAGGCGCCAUGCAAGGCAGCUGAAAGUAUUUCAUAGCAUCCAUUUUCAGAACAAAGGAACUUCUAACUAAGCAAAACUAUAAUUCAACCAAACAAAAGUUAACUAUAGAAUCCAUGGCUGGUCCUCCAAACAUUUCUUCUUACAUAUAAUCAGCUGCUAAAACAAAUAAACAUGCACAAGUAUUGCAUUCAAAUUUCAAUCUAACAUGAAGGAUUAACAAACACGUCAGAUUUAAUUAUUCCAUAACCCACUAUUAAUCUAUCAUCAUUACACAUAAUUUAUGUAAGAUUAUCUUUUAUCUUUGACAAUUAUUGCAUUGCUAAUAAUUUGCAAGAAAACAUACUUUUUCAAUUUCCUUUUAUUUUUUUUUAUUAUGUUAGUAGAUGCUAGAUGCUGUUUGUUUUUGUGUUUUAAAAAUAUUUUUAAAAAAAUUUGAGAUUUUUUUAUUUUUUUUAUUUACUUUAAAUUAAUAUUUUUAGAUUAAUUUAAUACGUUAAUUUUAAAAAUAUUUAAAAAUAAUUCGAUGGUUUUUAAAUAAAGUUUUUUUUAGAAAAUCAUGACCCAUCACUGGGUAUCGAAAAAACAAUUAUGGUUGAUUUAGCCUCAUCUUCUCUGCUUGUAAAAUUGAGGCAGAUUAUGAACUUAACCGAGCAAUUACGGCUUGAAAUUCCUAGCAAUUUACAAAGGAAUUUUCCUUGUUCUUUCUCUAUACAUUAUUAGAAAAACUGUCAUUGACUGAUUUAAUUGCAAAGUCUUUGCAAGAAAGCUAAAACAAUUAGAGUUUUUUAAAAUAAAAAAAAUAUAAAGAAAAAAAUAAAAAUUAAAAAUUAAAAAAGGAGCAAAAGGAAACAACCCCCGUAUUUAUUGUUCCCUUUCCCGUCUUUACAUGGCUUGAUGAAAAAGCAAACACCCCAUUAGUUGUUGCCACCAAAUUCAACUACACGCUUGAGAAAUUUCCUUGCUUUUUUCCCCUCUAAGUGUUACCUUUUACCUCUUUUAUAAUUUUGAUUAUUGCAUUGCUAAUAAUCUGCAAGAAAGAUGAUGAAAAUUUUUUAGUGAAUUCAAAAUAACAAAAUAAGGUUUGUCGAGGCUUUUCUUGGAACCUCGCUAGGGGUUUAAUUAGCGAGAAUGAAUUCUACAAAGAUAUCGGACUGUGAGUUUGUUUCACAAUAAUGACCUUGUGGGUGGACAAUCAGAAUACGUUAGUGAGACAAAAUAUAAUGAGGUUAAUAAUGGGCUUCUACCACUCAUCAUUUAUCCCCAGGGAAGGCCAGGUAGGCCUAGGCCACUGCUUCUGUUAAAAAUACACUUAAUUCAGCUUAGGCAUCAACAAUAUUUUGCAUUAGUCUUACCACUACAUUAUAAUUAUAAGAGCUGUCAAGAUUCUGUUAAGUUAAUCUUUUAACAGAUCAUAGCAUGAUAUAAAUUUGGUGCUAUAAAUUAGCAAUUGAGUUUGUUUGGUUUACUAUAUAUUUGUACGGAUUGCAAUGAUCCAAAUACAAUCAAUUCAUUUUAGUUCAAUAACAAAACUAAAAUAACACUUGUAAGGUGAUGCAUAUUCUUGCAAUAAAUAAAGCCACCAAAGGCAGAUGCGUAUGUCUAUAUAUACAUGAACUGCUGAUUCGAUUUGAACACCCCAUUUCUCCGAUUGCUGCAAUUUCAUAGCUAGCUCUUUGUUAUACACAGGUAUACACGGCUAACUCUUCUUUGCUUCUUUCUUGUUUUAAUUUCAUGUCUUUACCAAUAACAUUAAUGUGAAAGCUUUGUUUGUUUCAUGUUUAACUUCAGUUGCUAUUGUCUUAUGCUAUCUCAUUAUUAAGCUUAAAUUGCUGUAUUAUCUUCGAUGAUCACUUCACCUGUAUCAGCAAUUGCUAAAUAUUGAUUGUUCCUUAAAUUCUGCAGCUGAAAUGACAGAGCCAGAGUCUUCUCGCUCUAGACCAGAAGGGGCCUAUGAUGUCUUCUUGAGUUUUAGAGGAGCGGAUACUCGCAAGACGUUUACUGAAUAUCUAUAUGCUACCUUAAAUCAAGCAGGAAUCCACACUUUUCGAGAUGAUGAUGAACUUCCUAGAGGAGAAGAAAUCUCCAAUCAUCUCCUCAGGGCUAUUCAAGAAUCAAAGAUAUCCAUAGUUGUCUUCUCAAAAGGAUAUGCUUCUUCUAGAUGGUGUCUCGAUGAACUUGUAGAGAUUCUGAAGUGUGAAAAGAAGAAAACCGGUCAGAUUGUUAUUCCUAUAUUCUAUGACAUUGGUCCUUCAGAUGUGAGAAAACAGACUGGCAGUUUUGCAGAGGCAUUUGAUAAGCAUGAAGAGCGUUUUGAAGAGAAGUUGGUGAAGGAGUGGAGAAAAGCUCUCAAGGAGGCUGCAAAUCUAUCUGGAUGGAAUCUCAAUGAUAUGGCAAAUGGGUAUGCCUUUUUUUCUCUAAGAUUCACUUGCACACAUUUAUGGAGUCAUUAUACUCUACAUUUUUCAAUGUGAAACAAUAAAAUACUCAAUUGACUCGCUAUCAAUGACUUGCUUUUGUCUAUGAGCAGGUCUGAAGCAAAAUUUAUCGAAAAGAUUAUCAAGGAUGUGUUGAAUAAAUUAAAACACAAGUACUUGAAUGUUCCUGAGCACCUGGUAGGUAUGGAUCGGCUUGCUCGCAAUAUUUUUGACUUUCUAAGUACUGCAACAGAUGAUGUAUGCAUUGUGGGCAUACAUGGGAUGCCAGGAAUAGGAAAGACAGCUAUAGCAAAAGUUGUAUUUAAUCAACUCUGCAAUGGAUUCGAGGGAAUCUGCUUUCUUUCGGAUAUCAAUGAAACAUCAAAACAAUUCAAUGGUCUGGCUCUUUUACAAAAGCAACUUCUUCAUGAUAUUUUACAACAAGAUGUUGCUAACAUCAAUUGUGUCGAUAGAGGAAAGGUUCUGAUCAAAGAACGACUUCGUCCCAAAAGAGUUCUUGUUGUUGCUGAUGAUGUGGCUCAUCUGGACCAGCUGAAUGCAUUGAUGGGAGAUCGAAGUUGGUUUGGUCCCGGAAGUAGAGUGAUAAUUACAACAAGAGAUUCAAGUGUUCUACUUAAAGCAGAUCAAACAUAUCAAAUCGAAGAAUUGAA
rnacentral:lncRNA from 1 species